rnacentral:rRNA from 1 species
CGUAGGUGGCAAGCGUUGUCCGGAUUUAUUGGGUUUAAAGGGUGCGUAGGCGGCUUUGUAAGUCAGUGGUGAAAUAUGGCAGCUUAACUGUCAGGGUGCCAUUGAUACUGCGGAGCUUGAGUACAGAUGAGGUAGGCGGAAUUGACGGUGUAGCGGUGAAAUGCUUAGAUAUCGUCAAGAACACCGAUAGCGAAGGCAGCUUACUGGGCUGUAACUGACGCUGAGGCACGAAAGUGUGGGGAUCAAACAGGAUUAGAUACCCUGGUAGUCCACACUGUAAACGUUGAUGACUCGCUGUUGGCGAUACACGGCCAGCGGCAGAGAGAAAUCGUUAAAGUCAUCCACCUGGGGAGUACGCCGGCAACGGUG